CCUACGGGGUGCAGCAGUGAGGAAUAUUGGUCAAUGGACGAGAGUCUGAACCAGCCAAGUAGCGUGAAGGAUGACUGCCCUAUGGGUUGUAAACUUCUUUUAUAUGGGAAUAAAAUGUUCCAAGUGUGGGAUUUUGUAUGUACCAUAUGAAUAAGGAUCGGCUAACUCCGUGCCAGCAGCCGCGGUAAUACGGAGGAUCCGAGCGUUAUCCGGCUUUAUUGGGUUUAAAGGGAGCGUAGGUGGAUUGGUAAGUCAGUUGUGAAAGUUUACGGCUCAACCGUAAAAUUGCAGUUGAAACUGGCAGUCUUGAGUACAGUAGAGGUGGGCGGAAUUCGUGGUGUAGCGGUGAAAUGCUUAGAUAUCACGAAGAACUCCGAUUGCGAAGGCAGUUCACUGGACUGCAACUGACACUGAGGCUCGAAAGUGUGGGUAUCAAACAGGAUUAGAUACCCCAGUAGUC
rnacentral:rRNA from 1 species